GACGAACGCUGGCGGCGUGCUUAACACAUGCAAGUCGAACGGAAAGGCCCUGCUUUUGUGGGGUGCUCGAGUGACGAACGGGUGAGUAACACGUGAGUAACCUGCCCUUGACUUUGGGAUAACUUCAUGAAACUGGGGCUAAUACCGGAUAGGAGCUCCUGCUGCUUGGUGGGGGUGGGAAUGUUUCGGCGGUUGGGGAUGGACUCGCGGCUUAUCAGCUUGGUGGUGGGGUAGUGGAUUACCAAGGCUUGGACGCGUAGCCGGGCUGCGAGGGUAAGCGGCCACACUGGGACGGAGCUGAGGCCCGGACUACAACGCGACGGAGCGCAGGAGAAUAGUGCAUAGUGGGAGGAGGGAAGGUGUAGCGCCGCCGUGUGGGGGAUAAGAGGAUGCGGGUAGUAUAGUAAUUUUGUCUGUGCGGAGACGAGAGUGACGGUAAUGGGUGAAGAAGCACCGGCUAACUACGUG
rnacentral:rRNA from 1 species